ACAUCCAGCGAACUUGGCAGAGAUUGCCUUGGUGCCUUCGGGAACGCUGAGACAGGUGCUGCAUGGCUGUCGUCAGCUCGUGUUGUGAAAUGUUGGGUUAAGUCCCGNAACGAGCGCAACCCUUUAUCCUUUGUUGCCAGCGAUUCGGUCGGGAACUCAAAGGAGACUGCCGGUGAUAAACCGGAGGAAGGUGGGGAUGACGUCAAGUCAUCAUGGCCCUUACGAGUAGGGCUACACACGUGCUACAAUGGCGCAUACAAAGAGAAGCGACCUCGCGAGAGCAAGCGGACCUCAUAAAGUGCGUCGUAGUCCGGAUCGGAGUCUGCAACUCGACUCCGUGAAGUCGGAAUCGCUAGUAAUCGUGGAUCAGAAUGCCACGGUGAAUACGUUCCCGGGCCUUGUACACACCGCCCGUCACACCAUGGGAGUGGGUUGCAAAAGAAGUAGGUAGCUUAACCUUCGGGAGGGCGCUUACCACUUUGUGAUUCAUGACUGGGGUGAAGUCGUAACAAGGUAAGCGUAGCGAG
rnacentral:rRNA from 1 species